ensembl:snRNA U6 U6 spliceosomal RNA
GUGCUCCCUUUGACAGCACAUAUAUAAAACUGGAACAAUACAGAGAAGAUUAGCAUGGCCCAUGCACUAGGAUGACAUGCAAAUUUGUGAAGCAUUCCACAUUUUA